rnacentral:rRNA from 1 species
GCGGGUGAGUAACGCGGAGACCUGCCCUUGUUGGGGAAAUUAGCUGGAAACGGCUGCUAAUACCCCAUAGGCUGAGGAGCAAAAGGAGGAAUCCGCCCAAGGAGGGGCUCGGUCUGAUUAGUUAGUUGGUGAGGCAAUGGCUUACCAAGGCGACGAUCAGUAGCUGGUCCGAGAGGAUGAUCAGCCACACUGGGACUGAGACACGGCCCAGACUCCUACGGGAGGCAGCAGUGGGGAAUUUUCCGCAAUGGGCGAAAG